GACGAACGCUGGCGGCGUGCUUAACACAUGCAAGUCGAACGAAGUGGCGAACGGGUGAGUAACGCGUAAUCAACCUGCCCUUCAGAGGGGGACAACAGUUGGAAACGACUGCUAAUACCGCAUACUGAAGGGGGGGAUUGCGUCUGAUUAGCUAGUUGGAGGGGUAACGGCCCACCAAGGCGAUGAUCAGUAGCCUGGCUGGGAGGAAGAACGGCCACAUUGGGACUGAGGCACGGGCCAGACUCCUACGGGAGGCAGCAGGGGGGGAACUUCCGAAAUGGGCGAAAGUCUGACGGAGGAACGCCGCGUGAGUGAUGACGGGCUUCGGGUUGUAAAGCUCUGUUAAUCGGGACGCGGUACCGGAAUAGAAAGCCACGGCUAACUCCGUGCCAGCAGCCGCGGUAAUAC
rnacentral:rRNA from 1 species